AUUAUAGAAAGUUUUCAGACUAGCCUCGUUCCAUCCAGAUAUUGUUGUUAAUUUGGUGGAGGUGUUAUGUGUUUUAAGCUGGGUGGCAAAAGGGAAAUGGUAUUUUGGGUGACCACUAUCCAUUGUAGUUCUUAUCAGGAGUAUGCUAGAUGUUGUUGAGCCUUGAGGACUCUGAGAACAUGAGCAACGAGAAUAAAGAAGAAUAAGAAAUGAAUGGGAAUCAAAAGAAGACGAUAAAGUUAAUGAUUCGUCAUAUCAAGGAUAUAGAAAGAUUCAGAGCUUCGAAAGAAGUGAAGCUAGAGUUAAUUCUUCCAGCUGAGGUUUUAAUGUCGCUGGUCAGAGUAAAAGUGAUGGAUAUACUGGUAAUCCCAGAUAUUUGAGACAAGGUGUCUCGAGUAAAGGAAAUGUACCUUGUGCAGCAGGUACAAAAUUAACACUUUGGGAAGUGUGAAAUUAAUGAAUGUGUUUAUGUGAACAGAGGGGACACAGAAUUGUGAAUCGUCCCUAGAAUCAGUUGUACUCAACAAUUUUCCAUGAUAUCAUAGUGUCAAUUCAGCAGG
rnacentral:lncRNA from 1 species